GUUCCUUUGGUGCCGAAUAUUGCACACACAGAGGAACAAACAAGAGACUACAGCAAAGACUUGAACCCACAAGUAUGCAAUGGACAAAUAUCCUUGAUUUGGCGGCUACCUGAUCUCCCUUGCCAUUUAGCUUAGCAAGUAUUGCUCUCCGCUUACAAUCUUCUUUGGGGGUGUAAAGAAACCUAUUGUUUAGAGUUUGAACUUGUGCUUAGUAAUGGAAUCUUUGAGGCUCCAAUGAAAAUGAAAGACUCAACCCAACUCCAAGAGGCAUGAGCGGAAUUAAUUAUCACAAGUCCACCAUGGCCAAAGCUUGCUUCACGGAAAACAGACCAUUCUGGUUGGGGUACCUUGUACCUGUGAAUAAUUCGCCAUGACAUGUUCUAAUGUUGUCUUCUGACUUAAUGUGUUGUCCAAAAACACAACUUAUGAUCUGCCUGUAAACAAGAAUAUUCUAUUGCCCCAGUAUCCUGUGGCAUGCUUGCUACAUGUUGUUUCAGUAUUUGGGUGUAAGCUAUUAAGAAAUGAAGAUGGAGUUGAGGUAAAUGGAUGAGAGACCGGAGAGAGGCCAGCUGCAACAAUAGUGUCGUGUCUGUUAAAAUCAUAUCCAUGGAUGAACACAAUCUUAUGUUUUGCUUGGUCUCUUGGUGCGCCAUGUUCUUUGUAAGCUAAGUAUCGUCCAUCCCGAUGUUUAAUUCUAGGUGAUGUGACAGGAGGGCCAUCAGGGAUGCCACAAAUUUUCGAAGGAGAAAGCUGCAUUGCACGAUAAGCAUACGCCACGAACCCCACGAAGAGGACUGCUAGAAUUUUCCCAAGCAUCCCUGAAAUUUUUCCCCUUUACAAGCAUGGAAUAAAAUCUUAAAAGUAAGAAAACAGAACACAAUUGCUCUGUCAGAAGAACAUUUAUGCUUGUUGCUCGGGCUCUACAAAAAUAUAGGUAGGUGUGUGUUGGUCCUCUAUGCAUCUUUAAGGAUAACAUAUAGGUAAAACAACAUUUUUGGAGUGUCGAAUGAAGAAAGAUAUUGCUUUGAUAAUUUUAUUCGUGUCUCGACUUCAUUUUUCAUGCGACCAAUUUCAAGUUGUAAUUUCAAUUUGGA